GACGAACGCUGGCGGCGUGCUUAACACAUGCAAGUCGAACGAAAAGAGGGAAAGAGCUUGCUCUUUCCGGAAUUGAGUGGCAAACGGGUGAGUAACACGUAAACAACCUGCCUUCAGGAUGGGGACAACAGACGGAAACGACUGCUAAUACCGAAUAAGUUCCAAGAGCCGCAUGGCCCAUGGAAGAAAAGGUGGCCUCUACCUGUAAGCUAUCGCCUGAAGAGGGGUUUGCGUCUGAUUAGCUGGUUGGAGGGGUAACGGCCCACCAAGGCGACGAUCAGUAGCCGGUCUGAGAGGAUGAACGGCCACACUGGAACUGAGACACGGUCCAGACCCCUACGGGAGGCAGCAGUGGGGAAUCUUCCGCAAUGGGCGAAAGCCUGACGGAGCAACGCCGCGUGAGUGAUGACGGCCUUCGGGUUGUAAAACUCUGUGAUCCGGGACGAAAAGGCAGAGUGCGAAGAACAAACUGCAUUGACGGUACCGGAAAAGCAAGCCACGGCUAACUACGUG
rnacentral:rRNA from 1 species